rnacentral:tRNA from 1 species
UUUCCUGUGGCACAGUUGGUAGAGCAAUGUGCUAACAAUGCAAAGUUGUGGGUUCAAAUCCCAGGAAAA